CAGACUGAGAGGAUUCACAUGUGUUGUUACUGUGUUUGUCCUGUGGGGGGCAGUGCAGGCAUGUGUUCAUGUCUCAGGUGUGUUGGUGACUGUAAGAAGCUCAGACCUGCUGCAGAUUACCGGAAACCUGCUGCUUUUAUUUGAGGAGCUUUUUCCUUUGGAGGGUCAUCUGCCCGUCACAGACUUUUAAAUUCAGCUUAAAAUAAUAACGUUUGUUUGGUUUUUGUUUUUGGGGACAUUUAGUUUGAUAUUUUCUUGAAGACAUCAGAUGAAACCUCAGUUAGUAUUUAAAAGAAGACAUUUUUGUGACAACUUUGAAGCACAUCUGUCCAGAAAUCUCAGAGUAGCCCCCACAAACACAGCUGAACCAAUCACAUCAAUCCUUCAGCAAAGUUUUUUUAAUAAAUGGUUUAUGGGCUGCAAACCAGUUCAACACACCCAGGAUAUUUUUCCUUAUCAGGCCGGAGAAGUCUGACCCAGAAAUAUCAGUUUAGCUCUGAGAGGCGGACUUUCCACAAACAGAUUCACUGACGAAGUCUCAGGAUUAGAAACUAUGAAGAGAAUAAACACCCUGCACAGCUGCUGCAGACUGAGAGGACGGAGCUGCAUGAAGGAGAAAAAGACGAUAUAAACAGUUUAUUUACAGAAAAGACGGAAAGCAAACCAAAAAAAAAAAACCUGACUCUGAAGAUAACGGCCUUCCCGCCAUCACAGCUCUGUCAUUAAGCAGUGGGAGGAUCUGAAUGCUGAGCAGUUACACAUCGUCUCAAAUUAACCUUAGAUGUGUGCAGGACGCUCUGCUUUGCUCCUUUUUAAAGAUCUUACAGGGAACAAAAGCAGGACCAAAGCGACCUUAAACACGACGUACUCCAGAGCAGGUUGGUCUGCAGUGGCGGUGAUCGCGGCAGUAAGAGGGGUUAACCCCGAAGUUACCAGGAUGAGCCUCGGUUCAGGAUGGAGACCCGGAGCUGGUAACGGUUCUGUUAUUGUCACCGAGCGCGUGCGCUCUCAUUUAUAAUUUAUUCAUGUAUCAGGAACAAAAACAGCACAUCAGACACGUUUCAGUAAAACCAGAGAAACCAGCACAUGAACUGCACUUGUAGGCCGAUUUCUACUCUGUAGUCCUGACUUCCUGUCUCCCUCCACCCUCCGUCUUCUUCCCACCUUUUUACUCUUUUCACCACUGCAGCAGCACUUAGAGGGGGGAGGAGGGCGGCUGGGCUUGGUGGUUUACGCCUUCUUCUGCUCUGAGCUAUUUCAGGAGGAAAUUACAGAGAGAUCAGCCGGGUGGAAACACACUGUUAGAGUCUGAGUAACAGAGCCGUGACAUCAACCAGCUGAAAAAAAGGAAAACAGGAGAGGGAAGGAAAGAGCUGACGGAGAAGGAAACAACUCAGCAACGAGGAGGAGGAGGAGGAGUUUCUCCUCAGCUCCAAACCUCAGACUAAACUCCAUGUUUCCUGCUUCAAACACUUCAACCCUCAGAGACGCAGAGCAGCAGGUUUUUAUGACAGUAAAGGAAACGAUGUGAUUUUUGUUCUGCAGUAACUUCAGCACAUUUUAAUAAAGCUUCACAUUUUCAGACUGUCUUUGGUUUGUUCUUGUCACAAUCUCAUCUUCAUCAUCAGUGUGAUGGAUCCAUCAGUCUGAAUUAACUGCAGCAGUUCAACAUCUGUGACGAAGAGGAGCACAGAGCAGUGCUGGUGUCCCAGAUGUUUGAUUUGUUUUCUGAUUAACUUGUUAAAGUGCAUUCUGGGUAAGCUGGAGGCUCUUAUCAGCAUGUGGGACAGCUGUCAGCUCAGCGCACACGCCAGGAUCGUCCUCCAGCCGAGAUUGUGUCUGUAAUUUAACUCUCCUGAACGCUGCUGUACACGCUCUGCAGAACGACAUGGACGGAUCACGCUGAUCAAACCACUCUAGGUCCUGGAUCAGAGAGAGGGACUCAUGAACCUGCACAGUCCCAGCUCCUGGUUUAGUUUCACUUCAUUCUUUUCAUUCUUUCAGACUCAUGAGAGAGAGAGUCCCCACAAUGCCUUAAAACGAGUUUGUGCUCAUGCACAAACACUCGGGCUGCUUGAACUGAUUCUGGACAGGAAUCAAACAGCACAGACCCUCCUCAGUCCACUCACACCGGCAGACCACCUGAAAUAUUUAACAUGAAACAAUAGACUUUGGAACGAUGUUCAGACUCGCGGCACAAACGGUUCGUAACAGAAUCACAGCUGAAGCAGCUGAAACGACAGCCGGCAGCUCUCGCCUCUGUGAGACUCGUCAGGCCUGCGUUUGACACUUUCUGAUUUCUGAGGAUGGAUGAAGGUAGGCUGGGACCAGGACCAGGAUACGUGGCGUCGGCUCCUUUCUCACCGGAGCCCCUAUUCCUGAUUUUUAUUUUGAUUAUCAGAGAAAGAUAAAGCCAGAUACAACAGGCAGGAGCAUGUAGACCCACGACAGAGAGGUUUCUGUUAUUUUGUCCAUCACUUUUAGGCUAAAUAAGAGAAACUGCUCUGAGACCGCUUUAACUAGGACUGGGUUUAAAAAAAAAAAAAAAAAAAAAAUCUAUUUUAGCUUGAAUAACGCAAUAUUGAUAAAUGAAAUCCUGAAUACAGUUUAAAUAUAAAUGUAUUUUGCCAGAAACGCCAGAAUCUCAGUUUAAGCUCACAAAACUAUUUCAACAGCUGCCAAACAGCUAAAACAGCAAAUGAGAGCAGAAAGAUGUGAACGCAGAGCGUGGAUCGUUCACCCGACGGCACGAACUAGAAUAUUUCUGACUGUGAGUCAAAACUGAACCAAAUCGAUUAUAGAAACCAGUGACGAUGCCCAGCUCCAUCUUUAACUGGUCUAAGGGUGGAAACCGAUCGUUUCUUAUUGCAUCGCGUCUGUGAUGGUUCAGUUUCAUCUCAUCAGGCCUGAAACUUAAGCUGCCAUUACAAAACAAAACUAUUCAAAUCUCCCAGUGUAACUAACACACACCACCUGCUGCCCUUUAAAGUCCGAACACCAGCAAAACAAAUCAUCACACUUAAAAAAAUAAAACCAUGUCUGUGAAAACAUCUGGAUCAAAUAUCACUGUGUGUGUGUGUGUGUGUGUGUGUGUGUGUUUCCUGUCAUUGUUUUCAGUCAAUAAAUCCGUGCUGGUUUCAGCAGCUCUGCAGGGCCAACAUGAAGCCACUCGCUUUCUGUUUUAUUGGAAUCCCACUGAGCAGGAAAUGAAGUCCCCAGACCCAAUCACACACACAGCAGAGAUGCCCCGAGGCAUUAUGGGAGAUCUGACUCAGCUGCUCCACCUGCUGGACUCAGCCCGGCUACAGGCGUCUGGUUUUAAUCACACGCGUUACAUAACACCGUCCCAGCUGACACACACACACACACACACACACACACAGACACACACAUCUGUAUACACAUCUUUGUGAUGACUGCCACUGACA